AUGAAAGUGAAAACAUGGAGUAUGAUUUCAAGACUUGCUGCUAUCGAAUACAGAUCGCCCCGUGAUCAAUUUGAUAGAUUAUUAACGUUUAUUAAUACCUAAAGUUGGUUUAGAAAAGUAGUUUGAAGUGAUUUGUAAAAGUAUAUAGGCAACUUUUGUAAUUUUAAAAAGUGACAUUGCGUCUUGUAGAGGGGCAUUUUUCUGGAUCAGACCGGUCUUCAGCAAAUCACAUUUUGGGUAUACAAUGACGGAUUUAAUCGGGAAAAAGACCCAAUUGUGAUGUUUAUGUGACAUAUAGGAGUGCCAAGAAAGAAGCUCGUCAAAGGAAAGAACAUGGACACAAUGCAUUUGGGAUCAAGAAGAAGAUCUUCGCAGAAAUUAAUCAAGUCCAUGUAAUGGAUAUAGACAAAAAGAUAAUUCAAGGACUAUCAGAGGUAGAGAGGCGAGGCAGGGGUGAGGACAUCAUCCUUGCUAUUUUGACAGUCCCUAAAGGACAAUACAGAAGAGGACUCGAGACCACAGCAGCGAUCCUGCUCUUGCCCUACUUCUUCAAAGAGGACCAGAGUGGCCUUUGCACAAAUGAUCUGUUUCUUCAUAAACAUAGGUUUCACCGCUCUUCACUCCUUUACUGCACAUUGGCGGAAAUCCAUUUCACCAUGAGAGUGAAAUCCCGCUGGCCUUUGAUGGGGAGAACAUCCACGCCCUAGAGGACGUCCCCAUGGGACUUGGGGCUCUGUUAGGGCUGUAUUUUUUUUUUCCCCUUAAAAUUCCCAAAAAUGUCAGAAAAACACUUAUGUUCUUAAGUUACUGUGUUAAGACAAUUUGGGGUGAAGUUACCAGGGCCGGUCAUAAAGAUGACAAACUUCCUAACAUAACUAAGUGGUUGUUGGGCAAGUGGUUGUUAGACACACACACACACACACACACACACACACACACACACACACACACACUAAAGCUAAAAAAUCUGUAUUUAGCAAGUCUACAACCAUAAUAAAUAAUACAUUAACUUUGUAUAGUGCUUUUCAUUACAUUUAAAAUGUUUUUUUAAUAAUGAUGUACAAUAAAAACAACAUACAUUAAAAAUGAAUCAUAGGUAAACUAACAACUAGUAAACUAGCAAUUUUGUAGUGUGUUUUCUUUGGUAAAUUGUUUUGUAAAUAUUAUUUCACAUUUGUGGUGCCACUAAAUAAACAAUUAAUUAUUUAAUAUUGUUAUUAUUAUUAAAAUAUGCAGAUGCAGAUUAUUUAGCUACCUGACCCAUGAAAAAAGUCACAGCGGGGCUGAUGGAAACAGGAUGUGCCGAUAGAAUUGUAAAAAUACCGACAGACAAUUUGUUCGUUCGACAUGGUGGGAUCUUUUUGUGUCGGCAAAAGUAAUUAUGCGUGAAAUUGCGGUGGAAACGGAUUUAUGCGCAAAUAUUGAUACAGUAUAAUAGGCUAUACCUAUCACGCGAUUAUAUGUUGUUUGGUCCUCCCUCUACGACUCCGGAAACUAUGCAGUUUAUUAGGUUACAGAUGAUAAAUAAUAAAUUAUGAUGAACUUUACAGUGUGGUAAAAGUGCACGUGAUGAGCUUGAUGCUCCUUUCCAAUAAAUAUCAAGGGUCUUAUUCUGGUGACAUGUUACUGGUUGUGACUGCCGU
ensembl:lncRNA